GGCGGCAUGCCUUACACAUGCAAGUCGAACGGCAGCACGGGGGCAACCCUGGUGGCGAGUGGCGAACGGGUGAGUAAUACAUCGGAACGUGUCCUGUAGUGGGGGAUAGCCCGGCGAAAGCCGGAUUAAUACCGCAUACGCUCUACGGAGGAAAGGGGGGGAUCUUCGGACCUCCCGCUAGAGGGGCGGCCGAUGGCAGAUUAGCUAGUUGGUGGGGUAAAGGCCUACCAAGGCGACGAUCUGUAGCUGGUCUGAGAGGACGACCAGCCACACUGGGACUGAGACACGGCCCAGACUCCUACGGGAGGCAGCAGUGGGGAAUUUUGGACAAUGGGCGCAAGCCUGAUCCAGCAAUGCCGCGUGUGUGAAGAASGCCUUCGGGUUGUAAAACACUUUUGUCCGGAAAGAAAACCGCCUGGCUAAUAUCCGGGUGGGAUGACGGUACCCGAAGAAUAAACACCGGCUAACUACGUGCCAGCAAGCCGCGGUAAUACCUUAGGUGCCAGCGGUWAUCCGAAUUCCUGGGCCUUAAAACGUGCCACGCGGUCCCUAAA
rnacentral:rRNA from 1 species